UCAAAUCCGCUGACAGAGAACAUGGAACCUGCAGUGAGCCGAUGUCUGAAAGUAGACAGACGGUGGACAUUAACGGUGGCGGGUAUGAGAGUCGCCUGCAAACAUGUAAAUUGGUAAAGUAAUCAACAAACGGAAUUUAAACUAUCUCCAAAAGAAUAAAAUACAUAUUUCGACUGAAAAAAGAAGAAUAAGAUGAUCAUGAGACAGUAUACUGUAGAUAUAAUCUUUAUAGAUAGUAGGAAGUGUGAGGAUGUUGAUCAAGUGAUGAGGCCUAACCUUUUUAUAGGUGAGAAUCACCGCCUAAAUGAAGAUUAGAUGCACUGAAUGCGAGAUCGUGGUUGUAGUGGGCAAGAAGAGUAAAGCUUUAGUUAUUGGCGUUGAAUCAAUUCGAUUUGUAACGGUUGGGAUGAGAAGGAUGAAAACAGACACGAUAUGAACAAUCACCGACUCGAAGUUUG
rnacentral:lncRNA from 1 species